UAUGGCAGCAUCUUCGGGUGUGCGUCAAGAAUUCUUGUUGAAGUAGCACGUUUGUAUGAAGGUGUAGUUAUUCACAGGCAAAUUGUUAUACGCUAUGGAGGUACAUUGGUGUCUUUUUGUCGAGAGCAAAACCUUUUUUAUUUUCAAUCAAAAAGAAUUGUUCUGAAAGCAACUUUUUCCGACACGAAGGAAGUGAAAGCGGACACCUACGAAGAUGGCAUCUCAGAGCGAGCUGAUCAAGGGGUCAAAAAUGUAGACAUUGCCAGAUGUUCACUGUCCGAGAAACAGGCUGUGGAAGAAUUAUUGCUGGCAAAAGUGUCCAUAACCAGAGGUUAUAUCAGCUGUUUUGGUGAACCCCUCCCGCAUCUGAACUGGCUGACACAGAGAGCACAGCAUAAAGUACUCUGUAGCCACUUAGUGUGGACACCAGGUUAUAUCAGCUGUUUUGGUGAACCCCUCCCGCAUCUGAACUGGCUGACACAGAGGACACAGCAUGAACGGGUCAACAGGAAAAUAUUAUUAAAGAGAUGCUUUACAUUGAAAUACAGACAGAGAUGUAGUAGUACCAGAGUUAAUGAUCCAAGGUCUGUUUUGCAAUUCAACGCAUGAUUUAAGAUGACUGACUGUGUUAGAGUAAA